UCUUUCCUACUGAUGAGUCAACAGGGUCAACAGAAGGUAGGCUCUGAGGGUCAGGUCUUUCCUACUGAUGAGUCAACAGGGUCAACAGAAGGUAGGCUCUGAGGGUCAGGUCUUUCCUACAGAUGAGUCAACAGGGUCAAUAGCAGGUAGGCUCUGAGGGUCAGGUCUUUCCUACUGAUGAGUCAACAGGGUCAAUAGAAGGUAGGCUCUGAGGGUCAGGUCUUUCCUACUGAUGAGUCAACAGGGUCAAUAGAAGGUAGGCUCUGAGGGUCAGGUCUUUCCUACUGAUGAGUCAACAGGGUCAAUAGAAGGUAGGCUCUGAGGGUCAGGUCUUUCCUACUGAUGAGUCAACAGGGUCAACAGAAGGUAGGCUCUGAGGGUCAGGUCUUUCCUACUGAUGAGUCAACAGGGUCAAUAGAAGGUCGGCUCUGAGG